rnacentral:lncRNA from 1 species
ACAAGUACAAGAGUACAAACAUAAUACAACCACAACUAAAUGAACAUACAAACAUUCAACAAUUUUAUAUUCAUUCACCAUUCACCAUAGGUUCAUUCACAUAGUCUUAAUCAUGAAUCCACAUCUAUCAGUUAAAAUGAUUCCUACCCGGAAACUGGUUUUGAAAUACUAAGUUACAAAACCACGAGAAAGCUGUUUGAAAGCCGUUAUUCAUAAGGAAACUCUCUUCUUUUAAAACACGCUACCACGAGGGGUAGAAAACCUUUCCAUUUUAUGAAAAUCCAGAAAUCAUUGUCUCAUUCGGAAAACCAACUGAAAUCUUGAAUAUUUUAACAUAAUGAAAUACUGAACCAUAUAAACCGACUAAGCUAUAUAUCAAUAGAAAUAAUAAGGGUAAAAACUAAACCGAAUAACCUGGGUCGGAAGCUCUAUCGACCGCUAUGAACGUACCUCACGUCUCGUCUCAACCUCACCGCCCGCAAUACCUGAAAAAUGGUGGGGGAGGUGAGAACAUGUAAACAUGUCUCCCCUCCUAGUGGGUACCGCAAGCCGAUGAAGGCGAGAAGUACUCACCGGAUCAGGAAGAGAUAAACAACAAUAUGGGUAAGUGUAAUACUAAAUACAGUAGCAACAAUAAUGAACGAAAGAGAUAGAACUAUAAAUGAAAGCACAACUACCGCUACUGUAAUGAACAACUGAAAGUAGAUAUGCAGCUAAACUAUAGUAGCAAGACAAGUAUAAAGAAAGAACUGAAGGUAUACAAACAACAACCGCUACUAUAGGUAUAUGCGUCAAUCGGUCAAGAAGUCCAAAUAUACCCAAUCUGAAAUCUGCUGCUCUAUUGGUCCGCACCGCAAACCUCAAGCCUAUGCCACUACUACUCUCCUAUGCAUAUAACCCCUCUAGGGCUCACGGGUUGACAUCUGCAACCACUUUUCCGGAAAAGAAUACUCCUUGCGGUGGAUCAAACCGCCAGUGUUCGUGAAAUGCGACGAGUAUCGGGCGGUCAAUGCUGAUAUGCUCAAAGGCCAAACAUCGGCAACCAGCCGACAAUCCUACCCACAGGGCUCAUCAACCGUAUAGGUCAUCAACUGUAAGGAAGCACAAGAACUGACCACUCAGGUCAACUAGGAUGGGACAACAUCAACAUCCUCUCAAACAUAUGCAAAUACUGCUCAAUGAACUACAAGGACUGACCACUCAGAUCCACUAGGAUAUAUGCAUAACGAAUCAACGAAUAGGUCAUCAGGGUGUAUCAAUAGAAUCCAGAACUACCGUCGGCCACUAGCCAACAAUCUAACCUCUCUUGGGUACAUCGACUACAACGGUCAUCGAACGACAGAAGUCAAGGAACCGACCGAAUGUGUCACAAAUAUGAGAUACAAGAACAGACCAACCAGGUCACUGAUACGAAGUACGAAAACCAACCAACCAGGUCACUGAUACGAAGUACAAGAAUCGACCAACCAAGUCACUGAUAUGAAGUACAAGAAUCGACUAACCAGGUCAACAGAUACGCACAUAGAUAGAAUCACUCUACUCCUACUUAGGAUACUAAGCAUGCACACAAUGAGUAGAGUAUAAUGGAAUAACAUGGGUGCAAUGCUCAAUGUAUACUAUGCAAUAAUAACAACAGAAGAGUAAGGGUAAGAAACCAUCACCGAGCGUGCACCACUGUACCGACGUCGGAUCGAAGUACCCACCUGAACAAAUAUCGCGCCUGUCUCCUAACUGCAAAAGAACGUCAACCGGACCUAAGGAGGGUCCACUGGGUUAGUGUCCAACCCACAACUAAGAAACCCUAAAAGCAUAACCCCACAAAUAAACCCACGAGAAUCGGUUUCCCAAACCGAUCGCCGUACUACGCCGGAAGUCCCGUAAUGGCACCGAGACUCCGCCGGGACCCACGGACUGUCCUGGAACUCACCGACUCGUACCACGAGUCACCCGCUGCCACUAAAUACAAAUUUACGUGUGACUUGGCCGGAAAGACCUUAACUCACUCCAAAACGAUUAUCGUCGGAUAAUCGUUCCGAUUCGGGUUCCCGGAAGUAUCGAUUUCGACACCGGAACCCACCGUCGCUCACCCGUCAUUUCCGAACCCUCGAAACAAUGCGAGUGACCAGCCAACAAGGCUCAGCGACAUGGCAAAUGGUCACCAAGUAUUGUCGGAAGAGUUCCGAACCGAAAUCGCGUUUCGUUGGCGAAUUUCGCCGAAAAACGCGCCGAAAAUGCAUUUUCGAUCUUUGCAAAGGUCUGGGGCCUUGGACAAUCAGUCCAGAGGUCACCCAUUGCUCACUCAUGCUGCCAACAGCAGCCGUAACAACCCAGAAUAUAUAAAAGCCCUCCCGAUUACCCGAAAUUGCAUUAUUUCAUGCGAUUUCGGUGCUUUUAUGGUCCGUCUACACAAACC